rnacentral:lncRNA from 1 species
GAAAGAUACAAUCUCUGUUUCUCAUCUCCUCAUUCUGUAGUCUCUAAUCUGCACGUCAUUGGCCCUAUGUGUACCCAAGUGGCUGGUCUUUUAGAAAAAGAACGGAGUACAGAAUAUAAGGAACCUAGGCAAACUGCUAAUCCAGAGACCACUCUCUGCCCCCAGGAGAUCAGAUAGGCCCACACUUCACGAUCCUGGAAAGGAUCGUGGUACAAUGUCUCUGGUACAAUCUUAGCUUAGGAACCUUUAAAAAGUCCUCAGAACAGAUAUAGCUACUGUCUAUAGCAGAACAGAGAUGCUCCAAGAACAUUUUUUGCGUCUCCAACACUAAGAGCACAGGACAUCCAAAUAUCCAAAAUGACUCUGUGGGAAAAAAAAUCCUGAAAUGGGGGUUAUGGACUCUGGGGAGACCACUAAGGAUGCACCAGUAAAGAAUACAGGUCGUGAACCCCCACCCAGUAGACCUGUUUAUAGAGUCCCCCACCAGGGCACACACCUAGGACACACUGGGCUAGAUUGCACCACGGACAGAACAUGAACUUUCCUAGAUGCCGUUACCAUAGGGGAUGUCCCCGUCAAUUUACUCAAGUCCCACACUGAGACCACUCCUCCUUAGCACAAGGGCAUUUAGCAUUCCCCAUGUGCUCAGCUUUAUUAAGAGUGCUGGCUGGAAUUCCCGUAGUGGCUUAGCAGAAACAACCUGAGUAGUAUCAAUGAGGAUGCAGUUUGAUCCCUGGCCUCGAUCAAAGGGUUAAGGAUCUGGCGUUGCCCAGCUCAGGGGGUUAAGGAUCCAUUGUUGCCAUGAGCUGUGGUGUAGGUCACAGACGCGGCUCAGAUCCCAUGUUGCUGUGGCUGUGGGGUAGGCCAGCAUCUACAGCUCUGAUAUGACCCCUAGCCUGGGAACUUCCACAUGCCAUAGGUGCGGCCCUAAAUUUAAAAAAAAAAAAAAAAAAAAAAAAGGAGUGCUGGCUUAUAUCUCCAUUUAUCCUCUAUGGUCUCCCAAUAAAGUAAGAGUUUGGAUAGGAGCACCGUGCCCUCCCAAAAGGACAGCCCCUUCUACUUUCUCUCCUCCUAACCUGAACUUAUUGGACACCCUACAGAAUCAGCUCACCUGUGCCCAUCAUGAACCUCGCUGGAAACAUUUCUGCCAAGCUCAUCUCCUGAUUGAAAAAUCCCUCUACUAUGCUCAAGAAUAUCAGAGAGAGAAUCAGUUCACACUUGAUGCUUAUUGAUCAGCUUCUCCCUAUUACUAUUAAAAUUAUGCCGGAAUGACAUAAUAAUAAUUCGAAAAAGGAAAAUGUUUAAGGUAAAUGAAUAUCUAAUUAUUAAAUAUUCAUAUUGUGUUCAUUUUAUUUUGAUCGUUAAUCUUUACUGUCUGUGUGCAAGAAAAAUUAGGGCAAAGAUCAUUCGAAGAAAGACAAUUAUUUUAGAAAUUAUCCUAACGUCAAAUGAAGAUGGUCUGAAAGAAGGAAGUGACAGAAAAUAAAAAGGAAGGUGUUUUUUUUUAGAAAACA